rnacentral:rRNA from 1 species
GUGGGGAAUCUUGCACAAUGGGGGAAACCCUGAUGCAGCGACGCCGCGUGAGCGAUGAAGCCCCUCGGGGUGUAAAGCUCUUUCGGCAGGGAAGAAUACUGACGGUACCUGCAGAAGCAGCUGCGGCUAACUACGUGCCAGCAGCCGCGGUAAUACGUAGGCAGCGAGCGUUGUUCGGAGUUACUGGGCGUAAAGGGUGUGUAGGCGGUUCUCUAAGUUCGGUGUGAAAUCUCCCGGCUCAACUGGGAGGGUGCGCCGGAAACUGGAAGGCUUCGAGUGCGGGAUGGGAGAGUGGAAUUCCUGGUGUAGCGGUGAAAUGCGUAGAUAUCAGGAGGAACACCUGUGGUGUAGACGGCUCUCUGGACCGUAACUGACGCUGAAACACGAAAGCGUGGGUAGCAAACAGGAUUAGAUACCCCAGUAGUCC